GAUGAACGCUGGCGGCGUGCCUAAUACAUGCAAGUCGAGCGAACGCACGAGAAGCUUGCUCCUCUGAUUUUAGCGGCGGACGGGUGAUUAACACGUGGAUAACCUACCUAUAAGACUGGGAUACCUUCGUGAAACCGGAUCUAAUACCGGAUGAUAUUUUGAACCUCAUUGUUCAAAAGUUAAAGACGGUCUUGCUUUCACUUAUAGAUUGAUCCGCCCUGCAUUAGCUAGUGGGUAAGGUAACGGCUUACCAAGGCAACGAUGCAUAGACGACCUCAGGGCGUCAUCGGCCAGCUGGGAAGUGAGAAAGGGCACAGACACUUACGGGAGGCAGCAGCAGGGACUCUUACGGAAGGGGGGAAAGGCUGACGGAGCAAAGCCGGGGGAGUGAUGAAGGUCCUCGGCUGGGAAAGCGCUGUUAUUAGGAGAGAAGAAAUGCGUAAGUAACUGUGCAGAUAUUGACGGUACCGAAACAGAAAGCCCCGGCUAACUACGUG
rnacentral:rRNA from 1 species